rnacentral:rRNA from 1 species
GAUGAACGCUGGCGGCGUGCCUAAUACAUGCAAGUCGAGCGCACGGACGAGAAGCUUGCUUCUCUGAUGUUAGCGGCGGACGUGUGAGUAACACGUGGAUAACCUCCCUAUAAGACUGGGAUAACUUCGGGAAACCGGCGCUAAUACCGGAUGAUAUUUUGAACCGCAUGGUUCAAAAGUGAAAGACGGUCUUGCUGUCACUUAUAGAUGGAUCCGCGCUGCAUUAGCUAGUUGGUAAGGUAACGGGUUACCAAGGCAACGAGGCAUAGCCGACCUGAGAGGGUGAUCGGCCAAACUGGAACUGAGACACGGUCCAGACUCCUAGGGGAGGCAGCAGGAGGGAAUCGUCCGCAAUGGGCGAAAGCCUGACGGAGCAACGCCGCGUGAGUGAUGAAGGUAUGCGGAUCGUAAAACUCUGUUAUUAGGGAAGAACAUAUGUGUAAGUAACUGUGCACGUCUUGACGGUACCGAAUCAGAAAGCCACGGCUAACUACGUG